UACGUAGGGGGCAAGCGUUGUCCGGAUUUAUUGGGCGUAAAGAGCGUGUAGGCGGCCAGACAGGUCCGUUGUGAAAACUCGAGGCUCAACCUCGAGACGCCGAUGGAAACCGUCUGGCUAGAGUCCGGAAGAGGAGAGUGGAAUUCCUGGUGUAGCGGUGAAAUGCGCAGAUAUCAGGAAGAACACCCGUGGCUAAGGCGGCUCUCUAGUAGCGGUACUGACGCUGAGACGCGAAAGCGUGGGGAGCGAACAGG
rnacentral:rRNA from 1 species